AGAAUCAACGCUGGCGGCGUGCCUAACACAUGCAAGUCGCACGAGAAAGGGUAGCAAUACCUGAGUACAGUGGCGCACGGGUGAGUAACACGUGAAUGAUCUACCUCCGAGUGGGGAAUAACUGAGAGAAAUCUUAGCUAAUACCGCAUAAUACCCACGGGUCAAAGCAGCAAUGCGCUUGGAGAGGAGUUCGCGGCCGAUUAGUUAGUUGGCGGGGUAAUGGCCCACCAAGACGAUGAUCGGUAUCCGGCCUGAGAGGGGCGCGACGGACGACGACUGGAACUGAAACACGGUCCAGACUCCUACGGAGGCAGCAGUGGGGAAUUUUGCGCAAUGGGGGAAACCCUGACGCAGCAACGCCGCGUGGAGGAUGGAAAUCCCUUGGGAUGGUAAACUCCUUUCGAUAGGGAAGAUAAUGACGGUACCUAUAGAAGAAGCCCCGGCUAACUUCGUGCCAGCAGCCGC
rnacentral:rRNA from 1 species